rnacentral:rRNA from 1 species
GGAGGGUGCAAGCGUUGUUCGGAUUUAUUGGGCGUAAAGCGCGUGUAGGCGGUUUCUUAAGUCUGAUGUGAAAGCCCUGGGCUCAACCCAGGAAGUGCAUUGGACACUGGGAAACUUGAAUACGGGAGAGGGUAGUGGAAUUCCUAGUGUAGGAGUGAAAUCCGUAGAUAUUAGGAGGAACACCGGUGGCGAAGGCGGCUACCUGGACCGAUAUUGACGCUGAGACGCGAAAGCGUGGGGAGCAAACAGGAUUAGAUACCCUGGUAGUCCACGCCGUAAACGAUGAGAACUAGGUGUUGCGGGUAUUGACCCCUGCAGUGCCGCAGCUAACGCAUUAAGUUCUCCGCCUGGGAAGUACGGUCGCAAGACUA